UCCCUGGAGGACUAGUGGUUAGGCCACAGCGCUCUCACCACUGCGGCCCGGCUUCGAUUCCUGGCCAGGGGA
rnacentral:tRNA from 1 species